UUUGAGAGUUUGAUCCUGGCUCAGGAUGAACGCUGGCGGUAUGCCUUAAGCAUGCAAGUCGAACGAUCUUGUCCUUUGGACAAGAAUUUUCAAAUUAUCCAAUAAUCCAAUAAAUACCAAUUAUCCAAUAAGAGCAAAAUUCGAGGUAGUGGCAGACGGGUGAGUAAUAGUAAGGAACGUACCCCAAGGUCAAGUAUAGCCUUCCGAAAGGAGGGGUAAUACUGGAUAGUUCCCGAUUUAAUCGGGUAAAGCACGUAACUGUGCGCCAUGGGAGCGGCCUUAUUCCUAUCAGCUUGUUGGUAGGGUAAAAGCCUACCAAGGCGAUGACGGGUAGGGGGCGUGAGAGCGUGACCCCCCACAAUGGCACUGAGACACGGGCCAUACACCUACGGGUGGCAGCAACUGGGAAUAGUUGUCAAUGGACGAAAGUCUGAACACGCGAUACCGCGUGAGGGAUGAAGUAUCUCGGUAUGUAAACCUCUUUUGCCAGAUCAUCGAGAUUUGGCGAAUAAGCACCUACAAACUACGUGCCAGCAGUCGCGGUAAUACGUAGGGUGCAAGCGUUAUCCGGAUUGAGGUGUCGCAAGCUAACGCGUUAAGCAUCCCGCCUGGGGAGUACGAACGCAAGUUUAAAACUCAAAGGAAUUGACGGGGACCCGCACAACCAGUGGAGCAUGUGGUUCAAUUCGAGACGAAGCGAAAGACCUCACCAGGGUUCGACAUGUAACUGCAUGUCUAAGAAAUUAGGCAGCCUUCGAGGGUGUUACAAAGCUGCUGCAUGGCUGUCGUCAGCUCGUGCCGUGGGGUGUUGGCUUAAGUGCCAGAACGAGCGCAACCCCCAUCCAAUGUUAAGCGGGAGGAAGGAGGGGACGACGUCAAGUCAGCACGGCGCUUAUGCCCUGGGCAACACACAUCCUACAAUGGCGAAAAACAACGAGAUGCAAGCUCGCGAGUGCAAGCCAAUCUCUGAAAUUUCGCCUCAGUUCAGAUUGCAGUCUGCAACUCGACUGCAUGAAGCCGGAAUUGGUAGUAAUCGCAGAUCAGCAUGGCUGCGGUGAAUACGUUCUCGGGUCUUGUACACACCGCCCGUCAAGUCAACAAAGUUGGAAGUAGCUGAAACUUGGGUUUCCCAAACUAAGCUAAGCCCAGCGAUGGGGACUAAGUCGACAAGGUAUCCCUAGCCGAAGCUGGGGAUGGAUCACCUCCUU
rnacentral:rRNA from 1 species